AACGAACGCUGGCGGCAUGCCUAACACAUGCAAGUCGAACGAGACCUUCGGGUCUAGUGGCGCACGGGUGCGUAACGCCUGGGAACCUGCCCUUAGGUUCGGGAUAACUCCCCGAAAGGGGUGCUAAUACCGGCUAAUUUCUUCGGACCAAAGAUUUAUCGCGUUUGGAUGGGCCCGCGUUGGAUUAGCUAGUUGGUAGGGUAAAAGCCUACCAAGGCGACGAUCCAUAGCUGGUCUGAGAGGAUGAUCAGCCACACUGGGACUGAGACACGGCCCAGACUCCUACGGGAGGCAGCAGUGGGGAAUAUAGGAAAAUGGGCGAAAGCCUGAUCCAGCAAUGCCGCGUGAGUGAUGAAGGCCUUAGGGUUGUAAAGCUCUUUUACCCGGGAUGAUAAUGACAGUACCGGGAGAAUAAGCUCCGGCUAACUCCGUG
rnacentral:rRNA from 1 species